rnacentral:rRNA from 1 species
UGGGGAAUCUUGCGCAAUGGACGAAAGUCUGACGCAGCGACGCCGCGUGGGUGAUGAAGGCCUUCGGGUUGUAAAGCCCUGUGGGGAGGGAAGAAUAAGGCUAAGCGAAUAGUUUAGCCGAUGACGGUACCUCCUUAGCAAGCACCGGCUAACUCUGUGCCAGCAGCCGCGGUAAGACAGAGGGUGCGAACGUUGUUCGGAAUUACUGGGCGUAAAGCGCGUGUAGGCGGCGAUGCAGGUCGGGCGUGAAAGCCCUUGGCUCAACCAAGGAAGUGCGUUCGAAACCGCACCGCUUGAGUUUCGGAGAGGAUGGCGGAAUUCUCGGUGUAGAGGUGAAAUUCGUAGAUAUCGAGAGGAACACCAGUGGCGAAGGCGGCCAUCUGGACGAUAACUGACGCUG